rnacentral:rRNA from 1 species
GAGCUUGCUCCUUCACUUUAGCGGCGGACGGGUGAGUAACACGUGGGCAACCUGCCCUGCAGAUCGGGAUAACUCCGGGAAACCGGUGCUAAUACCGAAUAGUUUGUCCUCCCUCCUGGGAGGAUACGGAAAGAGGGUUUCGGCUGUCACUGCAGGAUGGCCCGCGGCGCAUUAGCUAGUUGGUGGGGUAACGGCCCACCAAGGCCACGAUGCGUAGCCGACCUGAGAGGGUGAUCGGCCACACUGGGACUGAGACACGGCCCAGACUCCUACAGGAGGCAGCAGUAGGGAAUCUUCCGCAAUGGACGCAAGUCUGACGGAGCAACGCCGCGUGAGUGAUGAAGGUUUUCGGAUCGUAAAACUCUGUUGCGAGGGAAGAACC